AAGAUUCGGCCAUCCGGCCACCAAUCUCUUCGGCUGUGCGCCUCGGCUGCACGUCGUCGAACCUCACACACCUGUGCACCACAUCGGUCGCGAUCUUAACGGGUCGCUUCCGCCUUUCACAUUUAAACACAAAAGUCCAGAAUGUAAAAAACCAUAAUGUAA
rnacentral:misc_RNA from 1 species